rnacentral:rRNA from 1 species
GAUGAACGCUAGCGGCAGGCCUAAUACAUGCAAGUCGGACGGGAUUGGGGCUUCGGCCCCAUGAGAGUGGCGCACGGGUGCGUAACGCGUAUGCAAUCUGCCUUUACCUGGGGGAUAGCCCCUCGAAAGAGGGAUUAACACCGCAUAAGAUCACAUUAUGGCAUCAUGGAGUGAUUAAAUAUUUAUAGGGUAAAGAUGAGCAUGCGUGACAUUAGCUAGUUGGUGAGGUAACGGCUCACCAAGGCGACGAUGUCUAGGGGAUCUGGGAGGAUGACCCCCCACACUGGUACUGAGACACGGAACAGACUCCUACGGGAGGCAGCAGUAAGGAAUAUUGGUCAAUGGGCGGAAGCCUGAACCAGCCAUGCCGCGUGCAGGAAGACGGCCCUAUGGGUUGUAAACUGCUUUUGUACGGGAAUAAACCUACUUACGUGUAAGUAGCUGAAUGUACUGUAAGAAUAGGGAUCGGCUAACUCCGUGCCAGCAGCCGCGGUAAGAC